GGGUCGGUAGCUGAGACGGUGUAGCACCGAGCUGAAGACUCGGGGACGAGGGUUCGAGCACCUCCCGGCCCA
rnacentral:tRNA from 1 species